rnacentral:lncRNA from 1 species
GGGAAGGGGACUGCGACUCUGCAUUUCUAAUAAAGUGCCCAGGGGGGACAUGUAGAUCCAGUCUCCCUUAAGAGACCAAAGAGGAAAAAAUGUAUCAAUACACAGUUACUAAGAGCUAGUUUACCGACUCUUGAUAUUCAAGAAUUCACUAAUUCGUUCGAAAAGGUCUGUUAUAUUUCCCAGAAUGGUUCCCAGCGCUGGAGAUAAUUCCUUUUCGGAGAACCUACAUUUCUCACCUGCUGAUUGCAAUUAGCCACUGCCAGCUGGGGCCUGGUAUGCAGCUGAAACGCUAACAAGAAGUGGAGACCACGCGGAACCCAGACAGGGCAG